GACGAACGCUGGCGGCAUGCCUAACACAUGCAAGUCGAACGGUAUUGUCUCGUCUGCAGGGUGAGAGAGGCGUAAAGGGGCGUAACACGCGUGCAAGCUCCGUUUAUCUCGGGGAUAUCCGUUCGAAAAGCAGAUUAUUACUCCAUAAUAUAUUGAUCUGCAUCGUGUAAGAUUGAAAGUUCCGUCGGCUAGAGAUGGGCACGCGCAAGAUUAGCUAGUUGGUGAGGUAACGGCUCACCAAGGCGACGACCUGUAGCGGGCCUGAGAGGGUGGUCCCCGAGAGGGGUAGCGGGACACGGACCAGAGUGAUACGGGACGCAGCAGUGAGGAAGAGUGGGGAGUGGGUGCAAGCAUGAACCAGGCAUCCCGCGUGAAGCACGGCCGCGCUGUGGGUUGUAAACUUCUUUUGUAGAGGUAUAAACCUUCCCUCGGAAGCGUUUCUGACGGUACCUUGAGAAUAAGCACCGGCUAACUCCGUG
rnacentral:rRNA from 1 species